UACGGGGGGGGGCAAGCGUUGUUCGGAAUUACUGGGCGUAAAGGGCUCGUAGGCGGCCAACUAAGUCAGACGUGAAAUCCCUCGGCUUAACCGGGGAACUGCGUCUGAUACUGGAUGGCUUGAGUUUGGGAGAGGGACGCGGAAUUCCAGGUGUAGCGGUGAAAUGCGUAGAUAUCGGGAGGAACACCUGCGGCGAAGGCGGGUUGCUGGGCUGAUACUGACGCUGAGGCGCGAAGCCAGGGGAGCGAACGGGA
rnacentral:rRNA from 1 species